rnacentral:rRNA from 1 species
CGGCGGACGGGUGAGUAACGCGUGGGUAACCUGCCUCAUACAGGGGGAUAACAGUUAGAAAUGACUGCUAAUACCGCAUAAGACCACGGUACCGCAUGGUACAGUGGUAAAAACUCCGGUAGUAUGAGAUGGACCCGCGUCUGAUUAGGUAGUUGGUGGGGUAACGGCCUACCAAGCCGACGAUCAGUAGCCGACCUGAGAGGGUGACCGGCCACAUUGGGACUGAGACACGGCCCAG